AGUAAAAUGGCCGAAUUAGGCGUUAAAUUGUAAAUUUAAUUAUGGAUUUAUCCUUUUACUA
rnacentral:tRNA from 1 species